UGACUGUUUGUUGAUGCAAUGUGUUGUUUAAAGUGGGGUGUUGUAUUAAGCAAUUUAUGCAUUUCUUGCCUGCCUUUUUUCAUGUACAUUUCUAUUUCCCUUGUUUUAGGAUGGGUUCCCUUUCUUGGUAAGUACCAUUUUCACGUGUAACGUUCACGUACCUUCCUCUAUUCAUUUUUUGCAUGCGCGGGAGCACGUAUUUUAUAUUAUGCUGUUUUUGGCUUUGCAUAGGUAUAAGUAUAGGGCAUGCAUGUGUGUGCACGGACCCCUGCGAUUUCAACGAGAAUAGCCAGUUUCUGCAGUAGAGGAAUCACCCUAAUGGUAAAUAUGUGAAUGAGAAGCAACUGCAAACUCCUUUGUCUGACGGCGCUGUUGAGUCUCUUUCCACAUUUCUCUCUCUGCAAGUAUGUUAAGGAAGGGACUGGAAUCCUCCUUUGAUGAAGUAACCAAUUACAUGCUCUCAUAUUUUAAGACAAGGACUAUAAUACAUCGUUGAUGGAAAAACAACAACGGAAAUAUACUGGCGGACUCUGAACUGCAAAAAACGCUGACCGAAUAGGGAGGGGGUUGUAAGGAGCUGUCCAAGCGGUGGUGGUGCUGAAAAUAUGUUUUGAGGCACAGGGAAAUAGGAGGGGAUGGGUUAUCGUGUAGUGUCCUGCAACAAAAUCACGAUUAUCAGGAGAGCAACAAAUAGAUAAAUUAUAGAAUAGAUUGAUAGAAAUGAACAAUGUCUGCUUGUCUGAUGGAAACUAGAGGAGCUAUGGACGACAGCGAGUGUUUGAAACUCGCAAUUAAGUGACAUACGUCGGAAAAGCUCAAGUUGGCUGCUAGUGCAUACAGCAGUUUGCUGAUCUUCCCGCCUGCGAUGUUUGAACUGUAUUAUCAGAUGAUGUGCAGGAAAACAGAGAAGCUAUAGGCGGGCUGACUUCCAUUACUCUUCCGCCCACGUCAUGUAUGUCUUUAGUGCACCAUACUUAGACGAAAUCAUCUUCUACUGGGUGCUCGUCUAAUAGUUUCCACGCACGCCACUCGUGAAGCCUUGAAAGAUAAAUGUGUUUGUCUAUCGUGGAUUCUUCCCUGCAAAAAACCGAUAGAGUCUAAAAGCUUUAAAUGUAAAGCGGUAUCGUAGGCAUCGCCACGCAAAUAGUAAAAUAGAUUAACUCUAUUCUUAAAACGAUCAGAAUGUGAUCAUUAUGUUCUCCAAAAGAAACAGCAGUACCCAUUCAUUUUAACUUUGCGUAGCACUAAUAAGGCGUAAAGAUCUCUAAUCUCAGCCGUACAGUUCGUCAAUGAUUUUAUCCUCACUCACUAGCUAGACAGUCAACGACUGAGCAUCGCUAACAGCUCUGUGCAUUAAUAACUCCCCAGUACCUUCUAAAGUCAGUCCUCUUCUGAAUAAUUCCCAUGAUAUCCAGACAGAAUGAGCUUUUAGGGAAAAAGUUUGUCUGUCUCUGAUCCAAAUAGAUCAUAAAUACAUGGUUUGCUUUGUGAUGUAUGGCCAUGUCCUGUGAGAAGAAACUACAGAGAUCAACUUCUUAAAUCCACUCGUUUUUGUCUAAUGAUCAUAACCUAGACAGAGGUGAUAUCGUCUUAAAUAAUUCAAUGCUGGCGGUGUCAUUUUAGUGGAAACAACACGGCUUCUGGAGUCGUGACUGCUAAAGUGAGUAAUAUGCGCGCGUUGGCUGCGUCAGGAGAGGCAGUCACUGUGCAGUGCAGACGGAGGGGGGGAAUCGUGACUGACUGGAGACGUCCGCAAAUGAAAAGACUAAAUAAAACUCUCAUCAGGAUAUCAUACGGGGCCGAAUUUUUCACAUGUUCAUGCCUGGCCUGAAUUCCUCUCCAUGUCCACUCCACUGCCCCUGCACCAACAAAGAGAGGAGGGGAUUUCUCAUUUUUCAUGGGGCGGUUGAGGGGAGUCUUAGUUCGGGAUGAAAUCAGACACAGAAGGAGGGAGGGGGUUGAUCCAGAUAUAGAUCGUGACCCUCCCACUUGGUACAGUUACUUGUACACCAUGUCAAGAAUGGAAUGCCUGGGCAUGUUAUGGGGCGUUUUGAUAGAUCGACUGGUCAAUUCAAAGUUGGAACAGUGAGAAAAGGACGCCAAAAGUCUGAGAACAGCGUAUCUAUCUGGAGAAGGACUAGGAGCUGUCCGUAAAAACGGGUGUGCAACGGUUUCGCAUGUUCAGAAAGGUUCAGUGUCCAUGGGUGGGUAGCAGUGUAUCUCCACCCUGCCUCCCGUCCGUGUGUCCUUCCGCUGAGUUGUGAUGAGUCAGCGGAGGUGUGAGGUGUGACUCAGCAUCGGCGCUCCUCCCAUACCCAGGUGAGGGUCCCUGUGACGUCAGGUGAACAGGUACAGUCACUUCUCCACACCUUAGGUUCACAGAGCGUGCCGGGUGGGGGUGCGUCAGCGUUAGUUCCUGGCUGCAAAUAGCUUGAGAUCACACUUCGGUGGGCACAGAGGACAUAUGUAGAUGCACAUGGAACAUGUGUGGAGCAUAUGUUUAUUCAUGUGUGAGAGGUAGGCAUUCCAUGCCACAUUUCAUGGGAAAUAUCAACCAAAAGGAAUAUGGGUGGAUGAGCAUACACACACACACACACACACACACACACACACACACACACACACAAACACACACUCCCUGAUAUUUACAAAUUGCAAGGUUUAAAUAAUUUGUCAAUUUCGAACUAUGGAACUAGGAGUAGAUACAAGUCAGACAUAUUUUUAAUGCAUUGUAUUUUUUUUUCUUGAGGAACAGUAAUGACUUGAAUUGUAGUUUAUUUGAAACAGCAGGCAAAAGUAGUAUUUCUACUGCUGUCUUUCUGCUACUGCUGCUGACCAGUUGCUGGUUUUGUUUUGCAAUCAUGGAACAAAUUGUAUGUCUCUAUAAACAUUACAUUUGUUCCACCUUUACAAAUAUCCACUGCACAUCACAGAUACUCCCAACUUUUUUAUUUAACUAUACAGUGCUUUCUCUUGAUGGUCAUCUUGAGUAAUACCGUUCCAAAUUGUAUCAAACUGCAUGCAGUAUAAUAUAAUAAUGUGCAGCAACCCUAAAUAUGAACUUCAGUGGUUGACUUCAUUGAAAUAGUGCUGUAAACCAUUUCAAUGACACAAUACACAGCUAUCUGAAUUUAUUUUAGUAGAAUAAUUUUUAUUUUAGUAGAAUUCACUGAACAUAUUUACUGUAUGUUCAGUGAAUUCUACUAAAAUAAAUGCUUUCCAUCAGAUAAAGGCCAUUCAAUAACCUACAAGGCCCAAAUGGAAGAAGUAUGGUGAGUAGUAUACUUACAUAGACUACGUCUAGGCAGCAAUGGCUUUGAAUUAUUGACAGAAUUCUUUAUAUAUAGAUUUUAAUCUGGUAUCACAGAUUAAGUCAAUUUCGGUUGAACGUUGUGCUUGACUUGAUCUGUUCAUUGAUAUGUUGGCUAAUCCCUACCAGGUUAAGUAUUUCAUUAUGGCUGAAAUAAUAUUAAUCAGGAAGGUUACAGUGCUUAUUUUUUAUUGUUUUCACAGUACUUUAAAUACUUUGCAUUUUAAUCAAGGGAAACACGAGACGUAUGAGCUGUUUCGAAGACAACACAGAAACUACUUCCAGAUAAAAUGUAGCUGAGGCGUACAUUUUCUAUUCACAUUAAUUUAAUAUUUUUGUUCAGAUAGCUUGAAGGCACACUUUACAGGAGUGUCCUGAAACUUUUGAUAAAUAAUUGUAAUUUCAGUCUUGUGAAAUUGAUCGCUUAUGAUAUGGUGAUCAGUCUUAGUUAACUGCUUUUGAAUUCAAUCUAAAAAAUUGUAAAUAAUCAGAAUCUAUAUGGAAAGCCACAAACCGUUUUCCCAGUCCACAGAUGUAUCUUCAGUGAUGAUAUGCAAAUUUGGCCACUUCGACACAAUAUAAAGACUUCAGGACAAUAUUUAGGCAGAUAUGGAAAUUAACAUAUAAGAUCCAUUUGUUUUUAUGAGUGACCUUAUGAAAUCCAGGGUGUAAUGGUGAAAAACAUAGACAUCUGUUUGAAAGUCUGAGCAUAAAGAGAGAGAGAGAGAGAGAGAGAAAGAGAUAUAGAGAGAUGGAUAAACAGACAGACAGACACUCCCACAUCAGUUGGCAGCAGACAGAGGGUUGAGAGUUGGGUGACGCAUUGACUCUGUGUGCCCAAAACUCAGACUUAAAAAACAAAGGACCGUGUGUAUUUAUAGAUGGUCACAGGUAAAUUGAAGCUGUAAACAGUUUUAAUGGACGGCCGGCAAAGGAGACGGGGGACUCUGAA